CAAAAAGUCUUUUCACCAUAACAUGGGCAAAGAUAAAUAAGAAAAGAAGAAAAACGACUCUGGUUUUUCUUCCCUUCACUUGUUCCUAGCGAACAUGUUAUUCUUGCAGCAUUAAUGUCCAGCCAGAGAUAUCAGGUAACAAGAACUUGCUUCCAAGCUUCAGAGUACAGAAAAAGAACACUCUAAAAAGCAUCAAAACUCCAGUAUUUACAAUCCCUUCAAGAGACUUGGUUAAUAUUUAAAUAUUUAAUUGUUUACUUUGUUUAAACAUUCCUCUUUAUCCAAUGAAUGUACACUUAAAAAUUAUUUUCUUUGAUAUCAAAUGCUCAGCAAGGGAAAAAAUGUAUACAAAAUAUAGGAAAGAAUAUCAAAAAGACCAAGCCCAGUAUGUUUAACAAUGCAUUCUUAAAAAAAAAAAAAAAACCCAAAAAGCUUGCCUCCAUACACAUUGAAACACAAAGGAAAUAUAACACACUGAGUCGUUUCUGCUUUUGAUCCCAGUUCUUAGAGGCAAGAAAUCAGAUUGCAGAAGAAAGCCUGCUCAAAUCACACAAGAGCAGCCCAUGUAUGACGACGCCCUUCUCUCUCCUUAGGCUCUUCUGCAAGGGUCACCUGUAACCCCUCUAGCCUAUCUAUCCGAUGGUGGCUGGAGCUGAGGGGUUGUGGAUGGCAACACUGGGCGACUCCAGCAUCUUCAUGGUGAGCUGCUGGGGAAAGGCACUGACGAAGAGAGCUCGGAUUGUGUCUGUGCUUGUGACUUCAUUCGGCAUCCGCAGCUGUUUGGUUUCGUCUCCAUACUGGAGGUAGAGGACACCUGCAUGCAAAAGGAACACGCAAUUAUCAG
ensembl:antisense Gm13362 predicted gene 13362